UACUGAAUGUGACGAUUAGAAUUCUGCACGAGUCUUCUCCUUCUCACGAGAACAAACGGCGCCGGUGUUCAAGCUCUCCUCUGAUCGGAGCUUUUCCGCCUCGAUUCAUACUCUCGAUUCCAUCUCUUUCUCCGCCGUUCAUCUCUCCUCUGUUCUCUCGUCGUCCGAUUUCCCUCGCUCCGUUUGCUCAAGUUCUCUUUUCAAUUGAUUUUAAUACGCACGCAAGAAAUCGAAGACGGAGGUUAUGGCGUACCAACCAGAGCAAUUCCGGUGAUUCUUCGAACUGACAAACGGCGAGAAGUCCGACGAGCAGUCUCCAAAAGCUCGGGUAUGCUUUGAUGCUCGUUCUCACCUUUAAUUCAUUAUCCGGCGAAUCUUCUCCUUCUUCUUUCUUGCUUUUCGAUGAAGAUUCAGAGAGAAAAGAACUUCUGUUAGAGUCUGUUACAGGUUUCCGUUACGAAUCUUUCUUCUGAUUUUUCUUUCUGUUACGUUUUCCUCGUGAUCUCUGUUGUGAAGCUUCUUUUGUUGUUGGUGAAGAAUCGAUGCAGAGGGAGAAUAUGAUUGAAGAUUGUGUGAAGAAAGGAUGAAGGUGGGAGAGGAAGGUUAUGGUGAUGGAGUGGAGAAGAUUGAAGGCGGGAGAAGAAUGAAGAGAGAAUGGUGGUGAAGAAAAUGGUGAAGAAGGUUUGAAUUGGAGGGAUGCUGUUAUAUAGAGGAGAGAGAAUUGAAUUCAGUUAGAGGGGAGAGUAUUGUGAGCCCUAGGAUUAGAGGGAGUUUGUUAUAAGAUGAAUGGUGAGGAUUGAAUCGGUUGAAAGGUUUUCGAAUGUUCCUACAGUGUGACUUGUAUGAUAAACUGAUGCUGCUUGUGACCUGCUCCAUGUCCUGAUGAUGAGCGGUAUCAGACCCUACUUAUUUUGUUUACGCGGGCUAUACGGGUGUUGUAUGCUGUAUCGAGGUUGAAAGUUCUCGGGGUGAUAUGUUAGAAACUCAGUAUGUGGAGUAGUUCUCUCACCCAAUUCAAGAAACAUAGGAGACAAUGGCUGAUCCUUGAAGUGGCUGGAUUGCUUACUGAAUAUGAUGAUAUGGAGUCAUUGAGUGCCAAAUUUUCCCUGAAACUGCUACAUGUGGAAAGCUGUUACAUAGAACCUUUGUUGGCUGUUUGGCUUGAUAGUAGCAUAUGGUGCAAAUGGAAUUCCCACACUCUUAGUACACAUGAUUUCGACACACACGGUUCAAAGCAAGACGGGAGAGCAUGGUGAUAUUGAAGACUUGGUGGAGCUACGUCAAGAGUAGUGUUAGGAUUAGUGGUCAGACUUUGGUCAACUUUUUGACCAGGAGGUACAAAGUCAACUCUAGUCAAAAUGUGAUUUUUUUUCAAUGUAAUCUCCAUUUAUUUUGUAAAGCACUUGUAGAUAAACUUUUGCCUUGGCUUGUAGAUCCAUAAAGUUGAACGAGAUGAUUUCCCUCCUUUUCCUUUGAUUUUGGAUUUCAGUUCAAUAACAUGUAACUUUUCUUA